UACGAAGGGGGCUAGCGUUGCUCGGAAUCACGGGGCGUAAAGCGCACGUAGGCGGCUUUUUAAGUCAGGGGUGAAAUCCUGGAGCUCAACUCCAGAACUGCCUUUGAUACUGGGAAGCUUGAGUCCGGAAGAGGUGAGUGGAACUCCGAGUGUAGAGGUGAAAUUCGUAGAUAUUCGGAAGAACACCAGUGGCGAAGGCGGCUCACUGGUCCGGUACUGACGCUGAGGUGCGAAAGCGUGGGGAGCAAACAGG
rnacentral:rRNA from 1 species